AUGGACUACAGCAGUGAAGAAGAGUCAGAUUUUAGUGACUCAGAGAUCAAUGACUACGCUGAGAAACCAUAUGAACAGCUGAGGACUGGAAAGCUUGUUGUAAAAACAGCAAAUGGAAUUCUUAGAUGCCCGUUCUGUAUGGGCAAGAAGAAACAGGACUACAAAUAUAAGGAUUUACUUCAGCAUGCUUCUGGAGUGAGUAAAGGCUCUAAGAACAGGAAUGCUAAACAGAAGGCGAACCAUCUUGCUUUAGCAAAAUAUCUGGAGAAUGAGCUAGCUUCUGAAGCAGACCAAACACAGCGUCCAGCUCCACCAACUCCUAUCAGUCAGGAUUCUGAAAAAGAGCUUUAUGUAUGGCCGUGGAUGGGUGUCAUAGUCAAUAUAGAGGUAGGGGAGGAUAGAAAGACAGUCUGUGAUUCAGCAUAUUGGAUAAAAAAGUUUGCUAAAUAUAGACCAUUAGAUGUUUAUAUUUUUUGGAAUGAUAAUGAACCGAAAGCUCAGGCAAUAGUUGAAUUCAAUAAUGAUUGGAAUGGUUUUGUGAAUGCAACGGACUUCGAAAAAUUGUUUGAGACCAACAAUCAUUGCAAAAAGAAUUGGAAAACCAAGACAAAUACCAGCUUGGAUAUUUAUGGUUGGUGUGCACGGGCUGAUGAUUAUAAUUCAAAUGAGCCUAUAGGAGAGUUUCUUCGACAAAGAGGGAAAUUGAGGACUGUCUCAGACAUUGUGAAUGAAGCAACUCAAAGUAGAAAUACUGUUGUGGAGAAUCUGACGCAUGAAAUUGAUUUGACGAAUGAAAAUCUGGAUGAACUACAAUACAAGUACAAUGAGAAGACUAUGUCUUUAAGUAGGAUGCUUGAAGAGAAAGAUCAGCUUCACCAUGCUUUUGUUGAAGAAACCAGAAAGACACAAAGACUUGCACGAGAUAAUGUUCGAAGAAUAUUAGAAGAACAAGAAAAAUUGCACCAAGAAUUGGAGAUUAAGAAAAAGAAACUUGAUUCCUGGAGUAAGCAAUUGAACAAACGCGAAGCAUUGACUGAACUCGAGAGACAAAAACUUGAUGAAGAGAAGAAAAAGAAUGAUAUGAGGAACAAUUCGCUCCAAUUGGCUUCCUUGGAACAGAGGAGGGCUGAUGAAAAUGUUUUACGUCUUGUUGAAGAACAGAAGAGAGAGAAAGAAGAGGCUUUAAGCAAGAUUCUUCAGCUGGAAAAGCAGCUGGAUGCCAAGCAGAAGCUGGAAAUGGAAAUUCAAGAAUUAAAAGGGAAACUACAGGUUAUGAAGCAUCUUGAGGAUCAAGAUGAUGAAGGAGUGAAACAGAAGAUGAAAGAAAUGGAUGAUGAUUUAAAUCAAAAGGUUGAGGAUUUGAAUGAUUUGCACGAACUGUAUCGAACUCUUGUUGCCAAGGAGCGUGAAAGCAAUGAUGAGUUACAAGAGGCCCGUAAAGAAUUAAUAGCUGGAUUGCAAGACCAAUCAUCAAAUGCCCGUGUUAAUAUUGGAAUAAAGAGAAUGGGGGAUAUUGAUAUUAAACCGUUCCAGAACACUUGCAAACAGAGAUUUUCUCCUGACGAGGCAAUGGUGCAAGCCUCCACUUUAUGCUCCUUGUGGCAGGAUAAUUUGACGGAUCCAAAUUGGCAUCCAUUUAAAGUUGUUACCAUCGAUGGGGAUUCCCAGGAAAAUAUUGAUGAGGACGAUGAGAAACUGAAAGGUCUCAAGCAGGAAUGGGGUGAUGAGAUAUACAAUGCUGUCGUAACUGCCCUUAAAGAAAUAAAUGAAUAUAAUCCAAGUGGUCGUUAUUCUGUACCUGAGCUAUGGAACUUUAAGGAGGGAAGGAAAGCUACUUUGAAGGAGGUCAUCAACUAUAUUGUUAAGAGCAUCAAGUCACUAAAACGAAAGAGAACAUGAGAAGAUCCGAGAAGUGGAAGAGAACACGAGAGGAAGAGCAACUGCUUGGACCAACGUUGACUGCCACAAGUGGAAGACUGGGAAUUUUUGGCGAUGUUGAUCACAAGAGGGAGCUUCAUGAGCCAUGCUCGUUCUAAACAACACAUCUAAUUACAAGGAGGAAUCUUUUCAGGUGAAGGAUUCGAUGAUAAUUGCACAGCCUUAUUGCUUGCAACUUGUCCAGUGGGACCAUUUCCUGUGGUAAAUGGAACAAACAACUCCUACCAGAGAAGCAAAUUCAUCUUCUUGACUUCUGUUUGUAGUAUUUAGCCCAGAGGUAAAGGGCUACCAAGGAAGAAAAAAAUAAAUUGAAAAACAAAAAAGAAACAGAAAAAAAAAAGAAAAUUAGUAUCACAUAUCUGAUCCUGGGGAAUACUGACCUGUACUCCUGACAUCUUAUAUUUGGAUGCUCUCAUUUAAUGUAUGCUCAGCCAUGAUGGUUUUGAACAUUUGGGUCUUGAUUCUGAAUUGACUGAUUAUGAAUUUUAGACUUA